CCUACGGGAGGCAGCAGUGGGGAAUUUUGGACAAUGGGCGCAAGCCUGAUCCAGCCAUUCCGCGUGGGUGAAGAAGGCCUUCGGGUUGUAAAGCUCUUUCGCAAGGGAAGAAAACUUAGGCUCUAACAUAGCCUGAGGUUGACGGUACCUUGAUAAGAAGCACCGGCUAACUACGUGCCAGCAGCCGCGGUAAU
rnacentral:rRNA from 1 species